rnacentral:snRNA from 1 species
AUACUUACCUGGCAGGGGAGAUGCCAUGAUCAUGAAGGUGGUUUUCCUAGGACAAGGUUUAUCCAUUGCACUCAGGAUGUGCUGACCCCUGCGAUUUCUUCAAAUGUGGGAAACUUGACUACAUAAUUUGUGAUAGUGGGGGACUGCAUUCUUGCUCUCCCCUG